GAUUAUUACAAGCAAAGCUUAAAACUCAAAGGACUUGACGGUGUCCCACACACAACCUAGAGGAGCCUGUCCUAUAACCGAUGAUCCACGAAAGACCUCACCACCUUUUGCCAAACAACCUAUAUACCGCCGUCGAAAGUCCACCCCGUGGGGGAAAGAAAGUGAACAAAACAGUUUAACACUAAUACGACAGGUCAAGGUGUAGUUAAUAAGGUGGUCAGAGAUGGGCUACAUUUCCUUACAAAGGAAAAACGAACGGUUAGAUGAAACUCUAAUCAGAAGGUGGAUUUAGUAGUAAAACAGGAUUAGUAAGCCUGCUUGAACACACUGCCCUGGGACGCGUACACACCGCCCGUCACCCCCAUCAACACACCCAAAACCAAUAAAUAAUACCUCAGGGUUUAAAAGAUCGGGUAAGUCGUAACA
rnacentral:rRNA from 1 species